rnacentral:rRNA from 1 species
AUACGGAGGGUGCAAGCGUUAUUCGGAAUCACUGGGCGUAAAGGGUGCGUAGGCGGUUUGAUAAGUCUGAUGUGAAAUCCUAUGGCUCAACCAUAGAACUGCAUUGGAAACUGUCAGACUAGAAUACUGAAGGGGCAGAUGGAAUUAGUGGCGUAGGGGUAAAAUCCGUAGAUAUCACUAGGAAUACCGAAAGCGAAAGCGAUCUGCUGGGAAGUUAUUGACGCUGAGGCACGAAAGCGUGGGGAGCAAACGGGAUUAGAUACCCUAGUAGUCCC